rnacentral:rRNA from 1 species
AUUGAACGCUGGCGGCAGGCCUAACAAAUGCAAGUCGAACGAGUGGCGGACGGGUGAGUAAUGUCUGGGAAACUGCCUGAUGGAGGGGGAUAACUACUGGAAACGGUAGCUAAUACCGCAUACAAUCAGAUGUGACAAGAUGGGCGUAGCUAGUUGGUGGGGUAACGGCUCACCAAGGCGACGAUCCCGAGCUGGUCGGAGAGGAGGACCAGCCACACGGGAACUGAGACACGGCCCAGACUCCUACGUGAGGCAGCAGUGGGGAAGAUUGCCCAAUGGGCGCAAGCCUGAUGCAGCCAUGCCGCGUGUAUGAAGAGGGCCUUCGGGUUGUAAAGUACUUUCAGCGGGGAGGCGUUACCCGCAGAAGAAGCACCGGCGAACUCCGUGCCAGCAGCCGCGGUAAUAC